CCCCGUGGUCGCCAGCAUGGAUGGGUCCCUCUGCUAAGCUGGGCCCGCCCUGGUUUGCAUUUGCAUGGGAGGCUGCAAGUGUGUGAGCACGCCGGGAAGAGAACGGGGCCGCUCUGGGGAGAGUGUCUGUCUGCUUGCUUGCAGUGCGCGCAGAAGGUUCCUUCCCUGGCGGCACCUCCAAGGUUGAGAGGAACUCCUGCCUGCAACCUUGGGGAAGCCGCUGCCAGUCUGGGUAGACAUUCCCUGAGCUCGGUGGAGCAACGGUCUCACCUGGUAGAAGGCAGCUCCCGGCGUAACUGUUUUCCUGCCCAGCAGCAGAGGCCUUAAAAGACUCUCGAGAUCUUUGCCUGAAAAGCGUAAUAGAAAACUGUUCUCUCUGACAUCCAUGGAUGCUGCUGAAUCACUUGUGGGAUCACUGCUCCAACUCAGCUUUGACAUCCUCACAAGAAUUGUUCCAUCAUACUGUCCAUUAGGGGAGAUUUUAAAAGUGAACAGCAGCAUUCUUCAACGAUAGAGAUAACUUUUUAAAUCAAAACAAAGUGCAUCCCUGAAGAUCUAUGAAAGAGUGAGGUCUGCCUACUAUGUGUGAAAAUAGCAUACAUUGUUUAAAUAUAGGGUAGUUCAAUGUAUUCAGGGAAGGAAGCUAGAGGGUAGUUUGCUGCUUGGUAUAAGUAAAUAUUUCACAAAGUAUAAAGAAAGCAAAACCCAGAUUGUUUACACAGGUGAUGCAGCAGCUGGAAUAUGAGAGCUAACUAAGACAGGGAUUUCAAUUACCAACAGACCUCCUCCUCGAAUUGCAGAUGUUUUAUUAU